rnacentral:rRNA from 1 species
GGACUACACGGGUUUCUAAUCCCGUUCGCUCCCCAUGCUGUCGUGUCUGAGCGUCAGUUGCGAGCCAGGGCGCCGCCUUCGCCUCUGGGGUUCCUCCGGAUCUCUACGCAUUUCACCACUACACCCGGAAUUCCACGCCCCUCUCUCGCACUCCAGAAAACCAGUCUGGCAUAACCUCGCCCGGUUAAGCCGGGCUAUUUCAUACACCACUUGGUUCCCCGCCUGCACACCCUUUACGCCCAGUAAAUCCGGAUAACGCUCGCCACCUACGUUUUACCGCGGCGGCUGGCAC